AAAAGACACACGCAGACAGAACGGGCGGCGCACACACACACCACAUGGAUGAACACCCCGAAUGACACACACACGCACGCAAACACAUACACCGGAAUACAUAUGGAGAGGAAACACAGCCAGCAAGGUCACACACAGCUUGACAGACGCGCGGAUCAGUGGAACAGGCCAUCAGAGUCACGAGAGACCAAGUUCAAAAAGUUCAAAUCCCAAUCCCAGACAGUGAACACCAGGAGCCAAUUGGAGGAGGAGGAGGAGGAGAAGGAGGAGGAGAUGGAUUUGGAGGAGGAGGAGGAGAUGGCAGAGCAGGAAUUUCAGCUUGAGAAAGACGAAGAAAUGAAGAAGAAACAGGAAGAAGAAGAAGAAGAAGAAGAGGAAGAAGAAGAGGAAGAGGAGUCUCACUUGAUGCCUCCGAAUGAACUGGACCACCAACCACUACCACCACCACUACCACUACCACUAACACCACCACUAACACCACCACCUCUACUCCUUCUCUCUCUAACACCAAAACAACAACAACAACAACAACAACAAUCUGCUCCUACCACGACUAAGACACAACCAGAGCCUAUGUCCCCUCCUCCUCCUCCUCCUCCACCUCCUACCUCCUCCUCCUCCUCCUCCUCCUCUUCCGUGGGUGAUGUCGACACCUCCACCACCUCCACCACCAUCUCCACCACCACCACCACCACCACCACCGCGACCACCUCCAAUGACCCCCCCCCUCUCGCCCUCCCUCACGCCCCUAUGGUGUCCCACGCAGCAGGGGUGGUCAUGCCCUCCCCUGCCCUCGCCUCCCCUGCUGGCUCCCCCCACUCUGCCCACCCUGCCCCCCCACAGCACAACCCCCACAACCCCCCCUGCUCCACUCUCUUCAUAGCAAACUUGGGACCCAAUGUGGCGGAGCAUGAGCUGAAGGACAUAUUUUCAAGGCACGUUUUCCUGCCGCGCCUGAGCGUCCCGGCCAAGGAGGACGGCUGGUGACGGGCUGCUGCCGGGGCCGGGCCAGUGAACGUCAGCCUGGCGGAUCACUGCGACCCACGUGGACGGCCACGCCCGCACCGCCGCCACCCACGGGACACAAGGCUUAAACUGAUGGAGCCUAGACCUGCCGCCCACAUGGAGCGCCUUGCCUCAUAACUUCGCGGCCCACCCCAACCAGCGCUCGUCACCGCCCCCACACCCGCCACGCCCACAACACCUGCUCCUACACCCACGGGACGGCGGGUUAGGGGAGUGUUGUGAGCCUGAUACCACGAGAUUGACUACUACUACUACUACUACUACUACUACUACUACUAUGACUACUACUACUACUACUACUACUACUACUAUUACCACUACUAGAGC